rnacentral:rRNA from 1 species
CCAUGCCGCGUGCAGGAAGACUGCCCUAUGGGUUGUAAACUGCUUUUAUACAGGAAGAAACCUUUUCACGUGUGAAAAGCUGACGGUACUGUAAGAAUAAGGAUCGGCUAACUCCGUGCCAGCAGCCGCGGUAAUACGGAGGAUCCAAGCGUUAUCCGGAAUCAUUGGGUUUAAAGGGUCCGUAGGUGGAUAAUUAAGUCAGGGGUGAAAGUUUGCGGCUCAACCGUAAAAUUGCCUUUGAUACUGGUUAUCUUGAAUUAUUGUGAAGUAGUUAGAAUAUGUAGUGUAGCGGUGAAAUGCAUAGAUAUUACAUAGAAUACCAAUUGCGAAGGCAGAUUACUAACAAUAUAUUGACACUGAUGGACGAAAGCGUGGGGAGCGAACAGGAUUAGAUACCCNNNNUAGUCCAUCAGUGUCAAUAUAUUGUUAGUAAUCUGCCUUCGCAAUUGGUAUUCUAUGUAAUAUCUAUGCAUUUCACCGCUACACUACAUAUUCUAACUACUUCACAAUAAUUCAAGAUAACCAGUAUCAAAGGCAAUUUUACGGUUGAGCC